AGACGCACUUUGCAAAUUCUGAAGGAAAACGACUAUUUAUCGAAAAUGAAAAAAGAUUUAAAAGUCAUGAUUUCACUGAACAACUGGAGAUGAAACAAGCGAAGCGGCUGAAGAAAUUUCUGACUGCUCUGGAAAUGGGCUUAAAUGAAAACAUACAUUAAGCCGUGUUUGAAAAGGACCGUUCCUGCUGACAUCAUGGCCUGCUUCUGAAUCCAACAUACAGUAAGUUUUACAAAGAAAACAGAACAAUCAAGCAUGAUAGUUAGAACUUUUAUCGUAUUUUUAAAUCAGUCAACUGAUACCAAUUCU